rnacentral:rRNA from 1 species
CAGUAGCCACGGGAAUACGAAGGGUGCAAGCGUUACUCGGAAUUACUGGGCGUAAAGCGUGCGUAGGUGGUGGUUUAAGUCCGUUGUGAAAGCCCUGGGCUCAACCUGGGAAUUGCAGUGGAUACUGGGUCACUAGAGUGUGGUAGAGGAUAGUGGAAUUUCCGGUGUAGCAGUGAAAUGCGUAGAGAUCGGAAGGAACAUCUGUGGCGAAGGCGACUAUCUGGGCCAACACUGACACUGAGGCACGAAAGCGUGGGGAGCAAACAGGAUUAGAUACCCCGGUAGUCCCUGUCUCUUAUAA